rnacentral:rRNA from 1 species
GUGGGGAAUUUUGGACAAUGGGCGCAAGCCUGAUCCAGCAAUGCCGCGUGCAGGAAGAAGGCCUUCGGGUUGUAAACUGCUUUUGUACGGAACGAAAAGGCUCUGGUUAAUACCUGGGGCUCAUGACGGUACCGUAAGAAUAAGCACCGGCUAACUACGUGCCAGCAGCCGCGGUAAUACGUAGGGUGCAAGCGUUAAUCGGAAUUACUGGGCGUAAAGCGUGCGCAGGCGGUUUUGUAAGACAGACGUGAAAUCCCCGGGCUCAACCUGGGAAUGGCGUUUGUGACUGCAAAGCUGGAGUGCGACAGAGGGGGAUGGAAUUCCGCGUGUAGCAGUGAAAUGCGUAGAUAUGCGGAGGAACACCGAUGGCGAAGGCAAUCCCCUGGGCCUGCACUGACGCUCAUGCACGAAAGCGUGGGGAGCAAACAGGAUUAGAAACCCCUGUAGUCC